rnacentral:misc_RNA from 1 species
AAAGAGAGCGAAGGCCAAGCG